GGCAGUGUGGCCUAAUGGAAUGGCAUUUUAUCUAGAAUCAAAAGGCCUGGGUUCAAAUCCCAGCUCUGCCU